rnacentral:tRNA from 1 species
CGCCCCUUGGCCGAGUGGUGAGGCACGCGGCUGCAACCCGCGCAACGCCGGUUCGAGUCCGGCAGGGGCGU